GGCGGGAUAGCUCAGUUGGUGAGAGCGCAGGAUUCAUAACCCUGAGGUCGGCAGUUCAAUUCUGCCUCCCGCUACCA
rnacentral:tRNA from 1 species